rfam:Schistosoma mansoni, Puerto Rico, WGS project CABG01000000 data, contig: 0171
GCACUGCUGAAGAGCCCCAUACUAGGACGAAACGGCCGUCAAGUGC